UGGUCCAAGGUCAAUGAUGACCGGUCAUGACCCAAUGGUGACCGGUCUUGGUCCAAUGUCCGGUCGUGACCCAAUGGUGACCGGUCCUGGCUCAGCGGUGACCGGUCCUGGGUCAAUGUCCAGUCUUGACCCAACGAUGACCGGUCAUGACCCAAUGGUGACCGGUCUUGGUCCAAUGUCCGGUCUUGACCCAAUGGUGACCGCUCUUGGUCCAAUGUCCGGUCUUGACCCAACGAUGGCCGGUCGUGACCCAAUGGUGACCGGUCCAGGGUCAAUGUCCGGCCUUGUCCCCUUGGGGUCAUUUCCAGUGACGUCCCUUUGGCCGUUGACCUUUCUUGACCCAAUGGUGACCGGUCUUGGUCCAAUGUCCGGUCUUGACCCAACGAUGGCCGGUCGUGACCCAAUGGUGACCGGUCCUGGGUCAACAGUGACCGGUCCUGGGUCAAUGUCCGGCCUUGACUCAAUGGUGACCGGUCUUGACCCAACGAUGGCCGGUCUUGACCCAAUGGUGACCGGUCCAGGGUCAAUGUCCGGCCUUGUCCCCUUGGGGUCAUUUCCAGUGACAACGGUGACAAUGACCUGUCGUGACCCAACGAUGACCGGUCUCGGGUCAACGAUGACCAAUCUUGGGUCACUGUCCACUCUUGACCCAACGGUGACCGGUCUGGGGUCAAUGUCCGGCCCUGACCCCAUGGGGUCAUCUCAAGGGACAACGGUGACGUCACUUGGGCCGUUGACCUUGUUUGGGUCAACGAUGACCAGUCCUGACCCAACGAUGACCGGUCUUGGGUCAAUAUUGACCGGUCUGGGGUCAAUGUCCGGUCUUGGGUCAGUAUUGACCGGUCUUGGGUCAAUGUCCACUCUCGACCCAACGAUGACCGGUCCUGGCUCAAUGUUGAGUCUUGGGUCAACAAUGACCGGUCUGGGGUCAAUGUCCGGUCUUGACCCAACGCUGACCACUCUUGGCCCAACGAUGACCGCUCUUGGCUCAAUGUCCACUCUUGACCCAACGUUGACCUCUCUUGACCCAACGAUGACCGCUCUUGGCCCAAUGUCCGUUCUUGACCCAACGCUGACCGUUCUUGACCCAAUGUCCACUCUUGACCCAACGUUGACC
ensembl:lncRNA